rnacentral:rRNA from 1 species
UACGAAGGGUGCAAGCGUUAGUCGGAAUUACUGGGCGUAAAGCGUGCGUAGGUGGUCUCUUAAGUCCGUUGUGAAAGCCCUGGGCUCAACCUGGGAACUGCAGUGGAUACUGAGAAGCUAGAGUGUGUCAGAGGAUGGUGGAAUUCCCGGUGUAGCGGUGAAAUGCGUAGAGAUGGGGGAGAACACUCGUGGCGAAGGCGGCCAGCUAGACCAGUUCUGACACUGAGGCGCGACAGCGUGGGGAGCAAACAGG